rnacentral:antisense_RNA from 1 species
GAGAUGGGACUCACACCCACGAGGAUGCAUUUCCAUACACCCAUUUCUGAAAUAUGAAGAGGUGUCCAGUCUGUUUGAUUCAUAGCUGCCUGUUCCACAACUGCAGAUACACAAACUUGGAUCUUUUACCCAGAGCCUCUGAUCCCACCAGGAUCAAUAAUUUAAGCAGAACAAUCAUCAACAUCGUCGUGUUUAAUAUUUGAACUCCACAGCAUCACUUAGGUCAGCUUCAAGGUCCCAGAGAACCGCUGCCUGUGGCCAGAUCCAGGCUGGCGAGGCAGCGGCUGCCAAGCUGACCUCGCUGCCCGCCUCGCAGGAGACGACUGCCCGGAGGCCUCAGCUGCACAUGCUGCUGAGUGUGAAGUCAGCGCGGUGCAACCCUAGACCUCGGCACAGGCGUGAAUACCCACCGACUCCCACUGUGGGGAUUAGGGAUGUGUGAGUGGAGUCUUAGUGACUAGCGUCUCCUGCUCCCCAUAUCAACACCCUUCAAUGCUGACUUCUCAAAGUAUGGUGCCAGGGUGUCACCUGGAAGCUUGUUAUGCCCCUCCCCAAAACUACUGUGUCCGAAGCUGCGUUUAAACCAGAUUCCCGGGGGAUUUAGAGCUGGUUAACAAAAUGACCAGAGGAUUAAAGUUUGGAAAUCUCCAAUUUCAACUAUAUUGAUUACAUUGCC